AGGUCGCCAUGUUGUUUACGUUGCAAUGCAUCCUGGGUAUACCUAAGGUAUGCUAGGAGCUACGAAGCUAGCUCCGUUCGGCCAGCACAGUAAUUUUUGCGCACUGAGUGACGUUCAGUCCUUCAGUUUGAACCGGAGUGAGUUGAAAUGGAAGACGAAGCAGAAACGACACGGAGAAAUUAAGAUGCGAAGCUGACCGGCUUGAUUAGGCUGGUAAGUUUCACCUGUCGGUGUGUCGAGCAAACCAAGAACGGGGAAUUGAGGAGACUUGAGGAUACAGGGUUUGAUGUUUGGGAAAAAGAAAAGGUGAAACGCUGAGGAAACAGGCACAGGACUGAGCUGUUGGGGCAACCAGUGAUUCCCCUGCCUGAGGGCCGCCGUGUUGACGGAUUACUACCAAACAUCGGCAAACACAAGACCAGCUCAAAAUUAAAGGAAAAUGUUUCACA